GCCGCAGGACGGCUUCUCGUAAAAUUGGAAACAGAGAGGAUUAGCAUGGCCCCUGCGCAAGGAUGACACGCACAAAAAAGAGGAUGGCUUCU
rnacentral:snRNA from 1 species